CCUACGGGAGGCUGCAGUGAGGAAUAUUGGUCAAUGGACGAGAGUCUGAACCAGCCAAGUAGCGUGAAGGAUGACUGCCCUAUGGGUUGUAAACUUCUUUUAUAAAGGAAUAAAACGAGGCACGUGUGCCUUUUUGCAUGUACUUUAUGAAUAAGGAUCGGCUAACUCCGUGCCAGCAGCCGCGGUAAUACGGAGGAUCCGAGCGUUAUCCGGAUUUAUUGGGUUUAAAGGGAGCGUAGGUGGGAUGUUAAGUCAGGUGUGAAAGUUUGCGGCUCAACCGUAAUAUUGCAAUUGAUACUGGCAGUCUUGAGUACAGGUGAAGUAGGCGGAAUGCGUGGUGUAGCGGUGAAAUGCUUAGAUAUCACGAAGAACCCCGAUUGCGAAGGCAGCUUACUAGACUGUGACUGACAUUGAUGCUCGAAAGUGUGGGUAUCGAACAGGAUUAGAUACCCGGGUAGUC
rnacentral:rRNA from 1 species